rnacentral:rRNA from 1 species
GCAUAUCAAUAAGCGGAGGAAAAGAAACCAACAGGGAUUGCCCUAGUAACGGCGAGUGAAGCGGCAUCAGCUCAAAUUUGAAAUCUGGCUCUUUCAGGGUCCGAGUUGUAAUUUGCAGAGGGCGCUUUGGCGUUGGCAGCGGUCCAAGUUCCUUGGAACAGGACGUCACAGAGGGUGAGAAUCCCGUACGUGGUCGCUGGCCUUCGCCGUGUAAAGCCCCUUCGACGAGUCGAGUUGUUUGGGAAUGCAGCUCUAAAUGGGAGGUAAAUUUCUUCUAAAGCUAAAUACUGGCCAGAGACCGAUAGCGCACAAGUAGAGUGAUCGAAAGAUGAAAAGCACUUUGGAAAGAGAGUCAAAUAGCACGUGAAAUUGUUGAAAGGGAAGCGCUUGCAGCCAGACUUGCCUGUAGUUGCUCAUCCGGGCUUUUGCCCGGUGCACUCUUCUGCGGGCAGGCCAGCAUCAGUCUGGGCGGUUGGAUAAAGGCCUCUAUCACGUACCACCUCUCGGGGUGGCCUUAUAGGGGAGGCGUAAUGUAACCAGCCUGGACUGAGGUCCGCGCAUCUGCUAGGAUG